UACGUAGGGGGCAAGCGUUGUCCGGAAUUAUUGGGCGUAAAGAGCGUGUAGGCGGCCAGGUAGGUCUGCUGUGAAAACUCGAGGCUUAACCUCGAGAUGUCGGUGGAAACCAUCUGGCUAGAGUCCGGAAGAGGAGAGUGGAAUUCCUGGUGUAGCGGUGAAAUGCGCAGAUAUCAGGAAGAACACCCGUGGCGAAGGCGGCUCUCUGGGACGGUACUGACGCUGAGACGCGAAAGCGUGGGGAGCGAACAGG
rnacentral:rRNA from 1 species